CAUCAUUUCCAUAUAAGUAGCAAGCACUGUACUGGCAGCCCGAGCUCUCUAGUGUUAAUAUAAGUUGAGUGGUUCGCAGAAUCAUCAUCCGUUUCGAACUUUCAAAGACAUAUUCUCCAGAUAUAUCCACCAUUCAGCAUCCAACUUCUGGUUUAAUAUAUGUACAUGAUUGAAAGUACAAAGCAAUAACCUCAACACCAACUCACACAUGACCCGUGAGGUUCAAUCCCAGAAAAGAAGUCUCUAUAAAGCAAAAAUAGAAUAAUAAUAGUCUAAAAAGUAAAUUCAAAGCGCCAAAGGCACCUGUUACAUUCCGGGCCUACAAAAACUUGGAUAAAAAGCCUUCACUGAAAUAUCUCAUUACCGCAAGACAAAGUGUGUGUCACCGGAGGUGGUCCGAUGAUGGAUGCUCAGGCGCCUUGGGGUGCUCGACCUGUCUGAAAAACAAAAAAU